UCUGAAUUUACCCUAUAGCCGGGUCCAGACGAGUGUGACGUGUAAUGUAAGAUUACGUGUAAUUUAGCGUCAACAGUGUGGACGGCACACGCACUCA